UACAGAGGUCUCAAGCGUUGUUCGGAUUCAUUGGGCGUAAAGGGCGCGUAGGCGGCGGGGUAAGUCGGGUGUGAAAUCUCAGAGCUCAACUCUGAAAUGGCACUUGAUACUGCUCUGCUAGAGGACUGGAGAGGAGAUUGGAAUUCACGGUGUAGCAGUGAAAUGCGUAGAUAUCGUAAGGAAGACCAGUGGCGAAGGCGAAUCUCUGGACAGUUACUGACACUGAGGCAGCGAAGGCCAGGGGAGCAAACGGG
rnacentral:rRNA from 1 species